rnacentral:rRNA from 1 species
UACGGGAGGCAGCAGUGGGGAAUAUUGCACAAUGGGCGCAAGCCUGAUGCAGCCAUGCCGCGUGUAUGAAGAAGGCCUUCGGGUUGUAAAGUACUUUCAGUCGUGAGGAAGGUGUUAAGGUUAAUAACCUUAGCAAUUGACGUUAGCGACAGAAGAAGCACCGGCUAACUCCGUGCCAGCAGCCGCGGUAAUACGGAGGGUGCGAGCGUUAAUCGGAAUUACUGGGCUAAAGGGCACGCAGGCGGUUAAUUAAGUUGGAUGUGAAAUCCCCGGGCUUAACCUGGGAAUGGCAUUCAAGACUGGUUAGCUAGAGUCUUGUAGAGGGGGUAGAAUUCCAUGUGUAGCGGUGAAAUGCGUAGAGAUGUGGAGGAAUACCGGGUGGCGAAGGCGGCCCCUGGGACAAAGACUGACGCUCAUGUGCGAAAGCGUGGGGAGCAAACAGGGAUUAGAUACC